rnacentral:rRNA from 1 species
UACGAAGGGCACUAGCGUUGUUCGGAAUCACUGGGCGUAAAGCGCGCGCAGGCGGACUGUCAAGUCGGGGGUGAAAUCCUGAGGCUUAACCUCAGAAUUGCCUUCGAAACUGACAGUCUGGAGUGUGUAAGGGGGUAGCGGAAUUCCGAAUGUAGAGGUGAAAUUCGUAGAUAUUCGGAGGAACACCGGUGGCGAAGGCGGCUACCUGGUACACAACUGACGCUGAGGCGCGAAAGCGUAGGGAGCAAACAGG